CACCCCAGGUAACCACGUACAUAGAAUGCCACACCAAAAUACACUCAAAAACUAAGUCCUAAAAUUAUUAGAAAUUUCGGCAGAGUCUCCCCUAAAAAUACGGACAUCACGACAGGCAGUUAUAAGAAAGGUCAAUACCGAUAUAAACCACACAAUCCAAACCAUCCUAGUGUAGACCCCCGAUUUUGGAAAUCGGAAAUCUUCUGUGUUUAUCCGUACCAAUCCCUGGAUCAGUAGUUGGUACACACAUACAUAGUUGGAUCACAACAUAUCACGAAUGAAUUUAGACUAAAAGAGUUAAAUACUUACAUUAGGGCCAGGUAGGCCAACAACUAUCAGAGAACAACAGCGGAAGACAAAAUAAUAUAAGGGCCCGGUUAACAUGCCACAGGCAGUCGACUGGGGAACGAGACCUAGAACAAGACCGCACUCCGAUCAUCUUGUGGGAUACGCAAGCGUACCGACAAGGGCUUCUCUUCAACACUCUCCUAAAAGAUAUAUAAAUAGCAAGGGUGAGUACCAACCGUACUCAGCAAGCCACCACAACAACAAUGCAUAUGAUAGAGGGUAUUUCAAGGAAUGGCUUCAGGUUCUUUUGGAUAAAGCUAAUUUUACAAUUCUUUUCACAAGCCUAAAACCUAGCAUAGACUGAUCAAAUUUUAGUACCAGUGUUCACUUUAAACAACGACGGUUCUGUCCACCAUCCAUUGUGAUCCCAAGGAUAGCUUCCCGCCAUUGAAUCGUCAUGGUUUUCUGAGGAUGUCCACCUUCCCUCCUCUCGGGAAGUGGCUCCAUCAGCAUAAAAUUCAUCAUGCAAUAUCCCAUUCCCCACAAGUUAAGAAUUUAGAGUCUAGCCAAGUGUAAUACAUGUCCCGGUGCUCAAUAACCGCGAGCACGGCUAUUCGAAUAGAUUUGGUUUACUCACACUGCAGUGGAUGUACACUUUACCCGCACUCCGCGACUGCCCAACACAUGAGCCUCGUCCCAACACAUGAGACGCGUCACGGCAAAGCUUUUCGAUAACCUCGCAUUGGCAGUACCCGCUCCAUGAACUUAAAUCCUCAUGCACUCUAGGCGUCCAUGUUUCUAGCAGUGAGAGGAGUUCUGGCGCUCCCGGGAAAGAGAAGUCUCACACGCAUAUUAAAUUAUGGUUCAAGUUAAGUUCUCUCUCUCACACACUCAUGACAGUCCUACCAAUGGCGACACCGAUGUAGGGCACGCCUCUCGGCCCUACCUCAACGGCUGUCCCAUUGUAGCGCACCUGUCUCACUCAGGGGUGAACCAUCUAUGCAGGGAUACUGCCUCCGCUCGGCUAUCUAAUCCGCUAGGUCUAUACCCAUUCGAGAAGUACGGUUGUACGGGGGUCGUUUCAUGCUUAACUUCAUGGCUCGGUCCUUAAUUGACCAGGGACGGUACUAGCCUUUUCCAGAUACCACCCAAAUCCUCCGUCCGCCCCAGUCGAAAACAGUUGUUUAAUUUUAUUUCUCCUUUCACAAAUCAUGUCAUCAACAUCAUGGCAAUGUGGCGCUCAUGUCUCCACAUGCCGCAUCUCAAUUACCUUCCCAAAGGUAAUUGCCCAAGCAUAUAGCAUUUGAUAAAUAUGAGUAUGCAUGAUUCUAGAAUGGCAUUUCUAAGCAAUUGUCAUAAUUGACUAGGGACUCAUACGUAAUCAUGGUUACAAGGAUUUUAAGGGUAAACAAUAAUCAAGGCAUGGCAUAAUCACAAGUAGGAUGUUCAUCAUUGCAUGAAAUUUUAUUUGUAAACAAAACAAUUUCGCAAUUAGGAUCAACAUGUUCAAGGAAUAGUGAUGACUUGCCUUGCUCAGGAUAAUCCUUAUUAUUGCUAUAAUCUUGAUCAACCUUCACCUCCUGUAAGUUGCAGACGUUGCCUCACGACUAACCGAUACACAAGGUCUAUAAUACGCGAGAAAAACCAAUAUUCAAACAACAAUCAAAUAUGCGCAACAAAAUGUACUACUUCGUGUUUGCUAAUGGAUCCCAAUCAUGCUAAGGCUAAAGUUUCUUAAUCUUUCUAUUGUCAUCGUGGCCUAUUUAGGAGUUAACCAACAUAGCAUUUAUGGGAUACAUAUAUAUUUGGCUAAUCAGUGGUUUAGUCUAUCAAAUGGCUAUGGAAGGAUUUUGGCUAUGUACGCAUCUAUCUAAAUAGGACGGUUAUAUACUAGAGGUUCUGUUGCUAGAUGGAUUUAGGAUCAAUCAAACAAUUACAGUGAUUCAUUUGUAUUAUUUAUUUUAUUGAUGGAAGCUUUACUUUAAUUAUGAACAUAUUUUACUUGCCAUUAUAAAUUAUAAAAGGGCUAAUAAUUAUCCCUGCUCUAUAUGUUAAAUUCGGGAAGUUUAUAAUAUUAUAUUUACAGAUUAUCUCUUAAUGAACAAUCCGGAUUUACAAUUGAACUAUGAACAUAUGAGGUCAAGAUUUAUAAUUAGUACUUAUCUAAUAUACAUGUUUGUCAAAAGAUGGGUUAUUGUUCCUAUGUAUGAUUUUAAAUGGAUUGUACAGUAUAUGUGAUCUAAGUGGGUUGACAAGUGAUUUUACUGUUUGGGUAAUUAUUGGAUGUUAACCGACUCAACCUUAUUUGGGUGGUUCUAUCAUAACAACUCUGUUCCUAUUCCUCAUAAAUAAAUUAAAGACUCAUCUAUGUGUAUUCAUGUUUGAUUUACCUAAUUAUAAGGCUAACUUUACUAUUUAAAUAAUCUAUAAGUCAUGGGUUUAAUAAUACAACCAUUACAUAGUGCUAGUAUCUUCCAAUACAUUAGUUUGAGACAUUAUUUAAAAUUAGUUUGUGUGGUUGUUACAGUGACAAAGCAUGUUAAAGGCCUAUAUCAUUACAUCUACUCUAUUGUACAUUAUCAAAUCUAUUUAUUAGCACAUUUUUAAGUUGACUACUAUGCAUCAUCUUGAUAUUAAUUAUUUAGUAAUUAAUAAUAUAUUUUCUUAAAUAAUGAAUUAUAUACCAUUGGAAAGCUUAUGAAUUUAGAUGAAUUUAGGAUCAAGUUUCAUUCAAAUCGGAGUUAAAAUGAAUAAGUUAUGCUAGUGUAAGGAUUCAAAUUCGAAUAAUUGCGAAACAGUACUGUUCACAUCCGAUUUAUUUUAAUCCGAAACCUAUCUACAGCUCAGAGUCACUGACGGGUGGGGUCAGGGGUCUUAUUAUCUUUUCUACCGAAUUAUUUUUGUUAGAGAAAAAUGGGGAGUGGGCCCGGCUUGUCAGUGGCUCGGCUGCUCUCUUUCUCUCUCUCGUUCUUUUCCUAUCGUCUUCUACCUCCAGACCGUGCGGGAGCAGCAGGGGCGGCGCAGCGCGCGCGGCAAGGCCGGCGGAGGGCGACCCGACGGCGACCAGGGGAGGGAGCGGCAAGGCUCCGGCGUCCACCUGCCGGCGGUCACGGCGUAGGACGGCGCGGGGGCGAGCAGCGCCGCACGGCCGCCAUGGCCGGGCACGGGUAGCUAGGUGCUAGGGCGAUACGGAGGGUUUCCGACCAAAUUGGUGCGGGCGUGAGCAUCUAUGACGUGUGAGGGUUCCAUUUUACUUAUUAGAUGGCUAGGAAGAGCUCCGGGAUGGCUUGUCCACGGCAAGCUCGCCGGCGGCAUAAUGGUGGCCGGGCCAGCACGGCUACGGGCGCUAGUCGCCGAAAUUGAAGGAGGCUCGAGUUUCUACGGAACCAGGAGAGACCUGAGGAGCGUGGACUUACCGAUAGACGGCGGGACGACGAAGAUCGGGUGCAGUGGUGGAGCGGAGAAGAAGGUGCAGCACGCCCACAAGAUGCUCGAUGAAAUGUAUCCGAGGAAGAAGAAAAGGAAGAGAGGGGAGGACGAGCUCGUGGGGGCUGGGAGGUGUGGGGAGGGAAGGGGAGGCAUGGGUUUAUAUAGGGGGCGGAGGGGAGAGGUGGCCGGUGCAGUGAUGGCGGAUGGGACGCGCGCGGCGUGCGGGGCUCGAGGCGAGCGGCGACGGGACAUGAGCGCAGGCGCAGCGCGGGGCUCGGCGCGAUGAUGGCGACGGCGCAGCAGCUGACGGCAGCGGCGCGGGGCUCGAGACGAGCGGUGACGCGACGGCGACACGCGGCGACGCGACGGUGACGGCGACAGCGCGACGGCGGCGCGGGGCUCGGCGCGGCGAGAACGACGGCGACGCAGCAGCGGCGCGAUGGGACGGCACGCGGCGCGGCAGUGCACGGGGCGCGAGGGCGCGUAGGCGGCAGAGGGAGGUGGGACGGGCGCGCGGCGGGGCAGGGGCGCGGGGCGCGAGGCGACGACGUGACGGCGACGACGAUGGCGCGCGGGGCUCAAGGCGGCGACGGCGACUGCUCGACGGCGACGGCGAUGGCGCGCGGCGCGGGGCGCGAGCUGGCGCGCGGCAGCGGCGCGGGCGACGACGAUGGCGACACGAGCGGCAUCAGGCAGGAGGAGGAGGAGGGCUAGGACGGCUAGGAACCAAAUCGAACACCUAGGGUGCUAAUGAACAGUGCUAGCCGGCUAUUUAACCCUAUUUUAGCAUAUUUCCUAUAUAAAUUUUAUUCUAUAAAUCCUAAUUUUUACACAAAUGAAGUUUACUCAAUAUUUGUGUUAUUCUAACCAAUGGAUUCACCCUAGAUUAAUAUUACCCAUAUUUAUUUAUUUAUCGCACAAAUGAAUUCUUUUUAGAUUAAUUUGAGUUAUUGGCCCUAAGGUGAACUUGUAUAUUUUUGAAGACUUUGGGGUACUAUUACAUUUAAUAUAUCGACUUGUCAUGAUUAAUACAUUAGCAGAUUGGUCAAGUUUAGUUGUAUAGCAAUAUAUUUUACACGGAUAGGUUCAAUCUAUUUAUUCUAUAAAUAGUAAAUUGAGACUCGGUACAAUAUCAAUCUAAUUGUUUAAUUAAAACUCACAUAUUCUUAUUUAUAUAUAAGCUUAAUGUAUUUAUAUGACCAUCAUUUUAUAUGAGUGAAUUUUAUGCCCAGAAAGAUAUGUUAAAUAUUAAUGUAAGUAUUCCAAUGAAAUACUCAUCUACAAAUAGGAUUACUAUAGUGGUGAUCAUCAUUUCAUGUGGAUAGGUUGUCCUUUUAAAUCGGUUUUACCUCUAUAUGAAUCAUUAUAUUUUAAUAUUUGACCUAUAAAUUAAAUUAGUAAUUAACCUUCUCUUUGUAUGGCUUUGUUGUGGUGCGUAAUUAUUUAUAGAGUUCAUAAUAAAUAUCUUAUUUUUAUAAUUGUUACUCAGUUGUAUAGCUUUAGCUUAAUUUUCAGUGGUGACAAUUUAUAGUUCGGCAAGCAAUAACAACCAUAACUUCCAGCAUGAUGCAAAAGUUUUAAAAAGUUCAAAAUUUUAGUGAUUUUUAUUGUCUUGAAUUUUCAGGAUGUUACACCUAGCUCCACAAAUCCCACGUGAAAAAUAAAGAUCAGAACCUUAAAUGACCUUUACAAGUUCUAUGCAAAACUUAUGCUGAGCAAAAAUUAUAGUCUAAAACUAAUUUCAAUUGUGUGCAAUAAUAAUGUGUAGUCCAAGGGUGCUACUCCCGCCCCAUGCCGAUCGAUGUCAUUAGGUAUCUAAAAACCAAAUUAAACACAAGAGUGAGUAAAGAAUACUCAGCAAGUACAAUCUUGAACUAGUAAAACAUACGCAUGAUUUAUGCAUUAAGAAACCAACAUGAAGGGUUGGAUUUACUUUAUUUUUAAACAAAAGAAGUCAAAAGAUAGUAGUUCCCUCCCGGGCAGGUGUGAAUAUCCUCUUAGCAUUACCGGUAAGCCGAGCAAGCGUGAUCAGCGCUUCUCAAGGAUCAUGAAUAAAGAUCCAAAUUGCACUCCCAUGGCUACGCAUGGUUCUUGAAUAAUGUAAACAGAACAUCCGGAAUAAUGAAACAUGAAUUUGAAUAUGGGUCGAAACACGAAUAACUAGCAUAACGUCAUAGCCAUACAAUCAGUAAUAACAAGCAAUUGAAUAAUAAUUAUGCAAGUAAAGCCAAACAAAACAACUCAGUUUUGUCCAUCAUAUAAGUCCGUCUUGUACUUGCCUUAACUCAUUCGAUACUCCGACUCAACUCCUCCAACGUUGGAACCCUCCACACCUGUGGAGCAAAACUACGCAUAAACCACUAUAUUCAACUAAUGAUGGUUACAAGGGAUAUUUAGUAAAAUCGAAACCUAGAACAUAUAAACCUUUUACCGAUUUGUAUUAAAUAACCUAUAGCUGUUCCAUUACUGUUUUAUGAGUAACUCACAAACCGUCUAACGGAAACUAGCAAAUAAUACAACUUCGGACAUCUAGACAAAAUUGUCUACAACUUUCAUGUUGAGCACAAAAUCAGAUUAUGCCUCUGAAAAUCCCACAUUAAGGAAAAACGAACUGCUGUCCUGAUUUCCGGACCCGGUCAGCAGUACUGUUUUUGCUGUUUCUCCUAAACCGUUGAUCGGAAUCGAGUGAAACUAGCAGCGUUGGAAAGAUAUUGACAAUGACUACAAACUUUAUUUAGGACAACUAACCUGAUUCCUGAUGGUUUAAUACCAGAUUUGAAAAUACGGUUUCAGCCUAGCGUUCGAUAUAAAAUAAAUUCGAAAAAACCGGAAACAGAUCGUCUUAAAUAUAAAUUAGAAACAACUAUAGACUAAAACGGAUUACCUAGCAGUACUAAUGUAUAAGAAAAACGAAGAAUUUGGAAAUAUUCACCAAAUUCCCCAAAUUUCCCUUCUUCUAUCAAAUUUCCCCUUCUUUCCUUCCUUCCUGUUCUUCUCUGCCUUCUCUCCCUCCUUCCUGUUCGUUGCAGGCCAACAGCAGCAGCAGCAGAAACGAAUAUCGGCAGCAACAGCAAGCCGUACACCACCACCAAGGAAGAGAUCAGAUCGACAAUAGCAGGGUUCGGCAGCAGCAGGGAAAUUAACAGAAACAACAGUAGCUCACCAACGACCGGCUGCGGACGACGACGGCUGUGGCGACCGGCGAUGGCUGCACCAGCGGCGGCGCCGGCGAAGAGAGGAACAGCAGCGGCGGCGGCAGAGCGCAGGAGGUGCGGCGGCUAGGGCUACAGGAGAAUCGCUCCUGUUUCUUUUUUUUUCGUUUGUUUUUUU
rnacentral:lncRNA from 1 species